UCUGAAAAGAUGCAGCCCGGUCAACUCAUUUUCUUCAUCUUUCUCUCAAGGGCAGGCGCCGCUCCUGACAAUAUUGUCACACAAUCUCCCCCCGCCACAAUGUUUGUGGGGCAGAGUGUGGAGAUAAAGUGCACACAGACCGGUAGCUGGGAUUAUAUACACUGGUACCAGCAGAUACCCGGGGAAAGCUUGAAAUUCAUCCUGUAUAUUCAGCAAGCAUAUGGAGCACAGAAACCAUUCACCUCGGAAAUUCCCGCCAGGUUCAAUGUUUCUCGGCCAGACGUUCGCAACUGCAGUCUGAUGAUAAACUCGCUCCGUGUGAGUGACAGUGCCGUGUAUUUCUGCGCUGCUAGUUUCUCACAGCGGUGCAAACAGGCGUGUGUUCGCACAAAAUCACCAUUCAGGACCCAGCUCCACCUGAAGCCAGUCUUCUUCAGCCGUGUUUAG